GUCUUUGGAUCUCGCCAACGGAUCAUAAGAUAUAGUACUGAGACCGAUUCGCAGGGCGGGGCUGGGAGCGAGUGAACGUUAGAUGUAGCUAGAUUUGAUUCUAGCCUCUUCGUCUUAUUUCUAUUGCAUUUAGAUAUGAACUUUGAACUUCGUAGAUAAUCAUUCGUUUAUCUGUUCCUACUUUAUUGUUUCUUCGUACCUACAAUAUCUGUUAGAACAAUUUCGGUUUGUGUUGCAUCAUAAACUUUAGUUUUGCUUAUAGGAUACUUCAGUUGAUUUUAGUUGCAAUUAAA